AUCAUCAAUUGGAUUCUUUUGUAAGUAACAUUUUUAACACAUUGAAAAUAAUUUGUCAUGUCAACAGUUUUUUAUAAUUCUGAAUAUUGUUUUUUAAUGAGCAAUGUACUUAACAUUUAAGAGUUUAGCACCUCUCCAUUGAUUUUCUCAAAAUAUCUGUUUGGCAAUGACAGGAAAAUAGAUUUUAACUUAGUGUUUUCUGUUAACUUUACAUGAG
rnacentral:lncRNA from 1 species